UGCCGGGAAGAGGGUGCCCGCCGGCGGGGUGGGGUGGGGUGGGGCACGCCGGGACUGGGAACCUGCGGCUGCGCAGACCUUGCAAAGUGACAGGGAGGGGGGGAGGGCGGGGUCGGCUGAUGGAGAAACUGAGGCAAAGGGUAGAACCCCUCUGCGCCGCAACCCUGUGAGCAAGGCGAAGUCCCAGGGUGGUGUCCCUGCCUACAAAAUCCAUCAUGGCACAUCACUGUGUCUACGUUUUGGCAUGCCCUUCCUUUUAACACACAACCUGGAAGGACAGAGAGAGACAGCAUGAGCAGGGGAGGAGCAGAGAGAGAGGGAGACACAGAUUCCAAAGCAGGCUCCAGGCUCUGAGCUGCCAGCACAGAGCCCGACGCGGGGCUCAAACCCACAAACUGUGAGAUCAUGACCUGAGCUGAAGCCGGACGCUCAACCGACUGAGCCAUCCAGGUGCCCCGACCUCUUCUAAUCUUUUUGUCAAGUUGAAAAAGGUAUGCAAAAAUGAAACAAACAUCCUUAUUCCUACCACUCACAAUUAACAUUGUCAACAGAUUGUUCACAGACAAGGCUGGGUGCUUCAGUGGAUUUAAGAAUCCCUUGCAUUAAUUUCCUC